rnacentral:rRNA from 1 species
UACAGCGGGAAGCCAUAUGGCGACAUAGAGCGGAACCCGAAAACCUGUCUCAGUUCGGAUUGGAGUCUGCAACCCGACUCCAUGAAGCUGGAUUCGCUAGUAAUCGCGCAUCAGCCACGGCGCGGUGAAUACGUUCCCGGGCCUUGUACACACCGCCCGUCAAGCCAUGGAAGCCGGGAGUGCCUGAAGUGCGUGAGCGCAAGCAGCGCCCUAAGGUAAAACCGGUGACUGGGGCUAAGUCGUAACAAGGUAAC